rnacentral:rRNA from 1 species
GACGUAGGGCGCGGGCGUUGUCCGGAUUUAUUGGGCGUAAAGAGCUCGUAGGCGGCUUGUUGCGUCGGCUGUGAAAACCCAUGGCUCAACCGUGGGCUUGCAGCCGAUACGGGCAGGCUAGAGUUCGGUAGGGGAGACUGGAAUUCCUGGUGUAGCGGUGAAAUGCGCAGAUAUCAGGAGGAACACCGGUGGCGAAGGCGGGUCUCUGGGCCGAUACUGACGCUGAGGAGCGAAAGCGUGGGGAGCGAACAGG